rnacentral:rRNA from 1 species
AUUGAACGCUGGCGGCAGGCUUAACACAUGCAAGUCGUACGGUAACAGAGGGAAGCUUGCUUCUCUGCUGACGAGUGGCGGACGGGUGAGUAAUGUCUGGGAAGCUGCCUGCUUGAGGGGGAUAGCGGAGCGAAAGUUCCGAUAAUACCGCGUAAGCCCGAGAGGGGAAAGUGCGGGACCGCAAGGCCGCACGCGAGCAGAUGCGCCCAGAUGGGAUUAGGCAGUUGGGGAGGUAACGGCUCACCAAACCGAUGAUCUCUAGCUGGUUUGAGAGGACAAUCAGCCACAUUGGAAUUGAGAAACGGACCAAACUCCUACGGGAGGCAGCAGUGGGGAAUAUUGCACAAUGGGGGAAACCCUGAUGCAGCCAUGCCGCGUGUGUGAAGAAGGCCUUCGGGUUGUAAAGCACUUUUGCAUUCGAGGAAGACAGCGUAUAAAUAAAUGCGCUAUUUGACGUUAGAGUGUGAAUAAGCACCGGCAAACUCC